rnacentral:rRNA from 1 species
CAAUAGCGUAUAUUAAAGUUGUUGCAGUUAAAAAGCUCGUAGUUGGAUUUCGGGGCAGCCUGGCUGGUCCGCCGCAAGGCGAGUACUGGUCAGCCGCCCUUCCUCUCGAAAGCCCCGACUGCUCUUCGUUGCAGUGGUCGGGUCGUUCGGGACGUUUACUUUGAAAAAAUUAGAGUGUUCAAGGCAGGCCUACGCCUGAAUACAUUAGCAUGGAAUAAUGGAAGAGGACCUCGGUCCUAUUUUGUUGGUUUCCAGGGCCGAAGUAAUGAUUAAGAGGGACAGUUGGGGGCAUUCGUAUUUAAUUGUCAGAGGUGAAAUUCUCGGAUUUAUGAAAGACGAACAACUGCGAAAGCAUUUGCCAAGGAUGUUUUCAUUAA